AUUGAACGCUGGCGGCAUGCUUUACACAUGCGAGUCGAACGGCAGCGCGGGCUUCGGCCUGGCGGCGAGUGGCGAACGGGUGAGUAAUACAUCGGAACGUGCCCAGUAGUGGGGGAUAGCUCGGCGAAAGCCGGAUUAAUACCGCAUACGACCUGAGGGUGAAAGCGGGGGAUCUUCGGACCUCGCGCUAUUGGAGCGGCCGAUGGCAGAUUAGCUAGUUGGUGGGGUAAAGGCCUACCAAGGCGACGAUCUGUAGCUGGUCUGAGAGGACGACCAGCCACAUGGGGACUGAGACCCGGCCCAGCCCCCUCGGGGAGGCAGCGGGGGGGAUUUUUGGACAAGGGGCAAAGCCUUGAUCAAGCAUUGCCGGGGGUGGGAGGAGGCCUUUGGGUUUGUAAGGCACUUUGGGGGGAACCAAAAAGGACUGUCCCAAUACCCCGGUUCGAGGAGGGCCCCCGAAAAAUAAGCCCCGCCAACCCACGCG
rnacentral:rRNA from 1 species